UACGAAGGGGGCUAGCGUUGUUCGGAAUCACUGGGCGUAAGGGGCGCGUAGGCGGCCAUAUAAGUCGGGGGUGAAAGCCUGUGGCUCAACCACAGAAUUGCCUUCGAUACUGUAUGGCUCGAGACCGGAAGAGGUAAGUGGAACUGCGAGUGUAGAGGUGAAAUUCGUAGAUAUUCGCAAGAACACCAGUGGCGAAGGCGGCUUACUGGUCCGGUUCUGACGCUGAGGCGCGAAAGCGUGGGGAGCAAACAGG
rnacentral:rRNA from 1 species